AACGGCCAUACCAUGCUGAAUAUACCGGUUCUCGUUAGAUCACCGAAGUCAAGCAUCAUUGGGCGCGGUCAGAACUUGGGUGGGUGACCACCUGGGAACACAGCGUGCCGUUU
rnacentral:rRNA from 1 species